rnacentral:lncRNA from 1 species
GUGACCUCUUGACAUAUAAGAUUCUCUUGUCAAAAACAUUUCUUAACAAAAAAAUAUUCAAGAGUUAGUGCCGAUUCUUAUCAAGAAUGUAUUGGAUUAAUGUCUAAGUCCAUAACUAUAAUUGGUAAGACUUGACCCGACCCAGCAUGGUCCAUUUGGGUUGCAUACCAUCAUGCACUUGGAUAGACUAUAAUGAGAGAAAUAAGACACUUAUGGUUAUUAAUAUAUUAUAAGUUCUAGUAUAUUAAUAAUAAGAAUAAUAAGAUUAUUUAAUUAGUAUUGAUCAAGAAUUAAUCUAGGAUUAAUUAAGUGAUCAAAAGAAGACUAAUUAAAUAUAUGGGUUGAUUGUGUAAAUCAUCCAUACUUGUAUAGUGGGCUAAUGCUCCAUGGAUAAUCAAGUUGGGCUAAAACCCAUAGGAUGGUCCAUGGAUGCUCCAUGGAGUAUUUGAACCCAUGGAUCCAAGGAAAUGGAAAGCCAUGACAAUUAAGAGUUUACCCUAAUUGUAACACUAUAUAAAGAUAUUAUUCUUGGCAAAAUCGGCCACUAGUAUUAUUCUAGAGAGGGCUAGCCAAUUUCAUGAAGUGUAGAAUUCUCUCAAGCUAUUCUAAGUGUUUUGAUGAUUGUGAUUCCAUUUGAGGUGUCACACUUGGGGCACUAGGCACUCAAGCUUCAUGAAGACUUUCUACAUCAAGAGGUAUGUAUUCUAUCUUGUUACAUUCAUUGUUUUGUAUGCUAGAUUAGGAUAAUACCUUGGAAGUUCUUAUUUGCAUGUAUAAUAGAGAAAACAUAGAUCCAAGGUAUUUAGGGUUGCAUGUACACUUAGGAGUGUUAGAAUGCUCAAAACCCAACAGUGGUAUCAGAGCCUAGGCUUGUUUUCUUGUUAUACCUGCAAUAGAAGCUGAAAAAACGAAUUUGGUGCUGUCUGAUCAUCAGACUCGGCGAGUCCAUGCCUAAAAUGUGAUCAAUUCGAUCCAACUCGCCGAGUUGGUUCAUGCACUCGACGAGUUGGACCCCCAGACAGCAUAUUUUCGAGUUUUUUGGCUAGAAAUGGACUAGGAACAUUACCCUAAGUUGUUUUUGAACUUAUAAACUUGUUUUUGAUGUGGUAAUGUUCAUGCUAAUCCAUUUUCAAAGAUAAUUGUCAAUAGAUUCAUGUUUUGUAUUAGUUUAAGGUUUAGACUAAUUACAUGAAAAAGUUUGAUUUGAAUUAUCUUGUUCUUAUGAGUUGCUUAGAUUAAUAGAAAUGUUGAGUGAAAUAGUUGUUUUCAAUCCAUUUUAAUCUAAGAGUUGAGUAUAAAAUGUGUUUGUGUAACUUGUCCUCAAGUUACAUGAAGAGUCACAUUAAAGACUCAUAAAACUCAUAAAAGUUGGCAAUGGUUACAAAAUGAAGAGUCUUGUGUCAUUGAAUAAUUUUUUUUGACUCCAUAACUUGUCCUCAAGUUAUGGAAGUUCAAGAGUCACUUCAUUAAAGAAAAAUAUGUAACCAUAAUUAAAUCCAUAAGUUAUAAAAUAAAGAAAAAGUUAGUUCUUUUAUUAGUUUAAAGUCUUCCAUAACUUGUCCUCAAGUUAUGGAACUUGAAGAGUUUUUGGAUUAAAACUACUUUAAACACAUAAGUUAUGGAAUUAAUUAGUUUUGAAUAGUUUCAAAACUUGCCCUCAAGUUUUGGAAUUUGAAAAGUUUUCAAUUAUGAAUACUUUAAUUCCAAGUUAGCCCUUAGAAUUUUAAAAGUUAAAAUUCAACCCUUAUACUUUAUAAUAUUAUAAGUUAAUAAUAUAUAUAUGUAUAAGAGUAAAGUCAGUCUUACCGCUAGUACGCCUCAUUCACGAAGCCGGUCUAUAAGGUGGGUAUAAGGUUGUUGCCUAUAAAAUGGCAACUUAAUGGGUGUCCACUCUCACCCACCGCUUGCUUGACUGGUGGAGGGUCGUUAGCCGAACGGGUUUGACAGGACUAGAAUUCUCCCUUCAUUAAAAGUAUUAAUGAUAAUACUAAGUAACUAAACUCUUAAUAAUACCCAAUCUUAGUUACUUAGGAAAAAUGUGAAUAAGGUGCUAAUCCAUGAAAUUACACUUUACACUUUGUCUAAGUCGUUAGUGGAGCGUGUGUGGUUAACCGGCACACUAACUUGGACUUAACAAGGUAGGUAAAGGGUGACUUAAUAUUUAUCAUAGUAUCGAUGGAGCGUGUGUGGUUAACCGGCACAUCGAUUGAGGGGUAAUUUAUUAAGGGUACCAAGUGAUUUGCAUGGUUACUUCACACCUUGUUUUGUGAUCCUCGGCAUCCCAGUCACAAAACCUGAAGGGCACACUCGAGAUUGAAACAUGCCUUUGAAAAGUUCAAUGAAUCUCAAAGAUCUAGGAGUUUCAAAACCAAUUAAAACCUAAUAAUACAUUUCGUUUAUCUUGGUGGAAAUUGGUGAAUCGUCAUUCACCUACCUUCAAAUAUUUUAUAGCUUGGAUUACGGCAUACCUCUUCUAAGUUAUAAAAUAGUUUGUUGGGUCCUAGCCUUAAUAUUUCAUAUUGGGUGUCAUAUUAAGGACUUUAAAUCAACUAUCUUGAAUAUCUCCCAAAAGAUGUCUGGUUUAGACACCUAUGAUCUUCCCAAAUCUCUUGAAACAAGGUUUCCUAAUGAAGAUGAUGUCCCAUGGAUAUCAUACUUCUUCACCUCUUCAAAUUAUUCUCCCUAACCCACAAGUUCUUGAAAAGUUUAAGGUCACUCAGGCCCUAUUGGCAAGGCAAGGUCUAGGUGUGGUCACAUCUUGGAGAUGUAGUCACAUAUUGACAAGCCGGGAGAGUUGGGUGUCAAAGUCUUGAGAAAGUUGGUGGUUCAACCACUUUCUAAGUCACAUAGUGAGUUCCUUUGGGACACCUAUGAAACAGACUAUGACAAGACCCUUAAUGAUCUUAUCUAUUUGCUAAGAUCAACUUCCUAAAACUUUAUGGACAUUGACAAUGAUGACAUUGGAUAUCCAGUAAAGCAUUCUCUUCCCAAUGGAAAGGGAUCGGCUAUAGUCAACUCGGUUGACCAAAUGGUAAAGAGAAAAGCUAAGUCUGUGAUAGUCCUGUGUACCAUUAUCAAAGGGUCCAUAUGUUUGUAUUGCCAAAGAAAGGGCAUUGGUUGCGAAGCUGCCAAAUUUACCUAAGGAUGUUAAAGUCAAUAAGUUUGACUCUACUUCAGGUAAAAUCCACUAUCUAACUCUGUUAAGUUUCUAUUCUGAGAUUCUUGAUACAUGAUGUGACCGGGUCGCAUGGUGAUGGUUUAAGAAUCAAAGGAAAGUGAAGAAACUUAAAGGAAGAAUAUGCUGAAUCUGAUCGCAUAGAUGGAUUUCUAUCGCAUAGUUUGAAAAAUCGGAUUCUUGAGCUACUUCUUAGGAGUUAUGAGAUAUUGCUUAGGAAUAGAUAACAACAAGUUUUCAUAUGGAUUGUAAGGAUAGUUUUUCCGCAAAGUUUUAAAAUAAAAGGAAAUUUUUGAUUUUAUUUAUUUUAAAAUAUCCUUACAAUGGCAUCUGUGGAAAUUUUUGUUGCUUAUAAGAUUCCAUUAGUAGCAAGAGUGGAAGUAUGAAAUUGAUUCUUUCAUUUGUGGUAAUGUCUAAAUUUACCAAAUAAGGAAAGAUUCUCAUCACCCAAGUUUCAAUUGGACCGGAACUUGGAAUCAUGCAAGUUGUAUAGCAUGAUGAAUGAGAACUUUCAAGUUUUGGAAAAUUAAGACUAAUUACUUGUUCACAUGGAUGUGUGAGUCAAGUAAAGGACUUAGGGAUCGAGUACACAUUCUUGUGCACUGAUUAAGUCCACCACUAAAGAUCGAUAAGAAGAAUCAAAUAAGGCAGAAGGAUAAAAGUUUCUCAAAUCUGAAAAGAUGGGAGAGUACUUUAGUAUCAGUUUUGUGAUCAUCUUAAUGAUUAAGAAACCAUAUCAAAAUUAGUUCUCUAAGGAAAUCUUAGUGCAUUCUUAUGACUAAGAAGAGGAACUUGAAUUGUUGAAAUGGUUAAAUCAAGAAGAUGAGUCAUACUUCGUUCCAAUACAAGUCUUAGAGUCAUACUCCAAGAUUGUCAUUUGAGUGACAUGUCUUAAAGAAGGUUUAAAACACUUGUCAAAUGUAAGAGUAAAAGUUUUCUACUCUUGUACAUUUGAAAUUGGUAAGUUGUGAUGUUUUGGAUAAAACAAAGACCAACUUAGGCCAAUUGGGUAAAGUGUUUUUCUUGAUUAGAAUCCGCACUAUCUCUUGGAUGUUUGACAAGGGAGUCUUAUAUGUCAAGAGGACAGUGGGAGUCUUAAAGGUCUUGAAAGUCUCAAGAAAUAAUCAAGAAUAAAACCUAAAGUUCUUCACUAGCACACGACUUGAGGUUCAUAACCUAUCGUGUUGACAUAUUCUGUGCCCAUUCCAGUUAAAGUUGGUUUUGCAUAUGAGUUCUUAGAGUUCUCAAUUUGUUGCACAACAACUUGGAAGCAAUGGCAGGCCCUUGAGCUGCCAGGUGGCAAGAAGUUAAGAUUGAGUUCAAUCCAUAUGGUUUUGGAUUUGUCAUUAUCUUUGUCUUGUGAUUAUGGUUUGACAAAUUCAUAUGGGUAGGAACUCAUACACCAUAUAAAUCUAAGUGUCAUAAGGUUUCUCUCCGAUUCAUGAAAAUGAUGGUGAGGAAACGCUUUCACUAAGUAGAUUUUACGAAGAUAUCAAUUGUGUUAUUUGCAUUUUCAAAAGUCGUUAGUGGAGCGCGUGUGGUUAACCGGCACACUAACAUGGACUUGUGAGAAAUGGCAAAUGCCUAAGCAAUUGAGACCAUGAUUACGGUAUCCCUUUUCAUGGUUCUUGAAAUUGCUUAGACACACAGGUGAGCUAUCUACGGAAAGGGUGUAUGAAUCUAAAUUUCAGACUGUCCAGCUGAUUUCUGAGUACAUGUCAAAGCUAGUGGGAGCAUAAGUGUUAUGCUAAUAAUCAUCAUGUUAGUGGGAGCAUGAUAAUUAUGAUAAGUAUUGCAAGUUAGCAAUGUUAAUUAUAGAAAACAAAAGUUUCAAUUGGGAAAAAGUUGUUUUGCUAUAAUUAAGGGAGAGGAAAUUAUGCUUCAUCUCAAAUCUAUAAGCUUAGAUCGUGAGGUUUUAAUCAUUUAGUCAAGGAUAUAUAUGAAUUUCAUGUUGGAAUGGCUCAACAUAAGGAAAUUCUGUAUAUGGGUCCAUUAUUUGCGUUCUAAAAUUCGAUUAUGAUUACGGCAUCCCUUUUCAUAAUCUGAAUUAUGAGAACUUGGCAAAUUGAAAUGGAAAUAUUAUAGCAAAAGACUGGUUUAGUCUUUAUGUAAGACAUCAUGAAUCGUGUCCCAUAUGCUUCGGAUAUAGGAUCGAUUACAUGUGCUAUAUUCAUCCGUUCUAAAAUUUUCCAAAUGCCUGGGGCAUUAAGAAGGGAAAAGGUUUAGAACUGGAUAUGACUAAAAGGAUUAAACAAUUGUCGAGGACAAUCUAAGGUUUACCAAAGAUUGGUUACUCAAGGACAAUUGGAAGUAUAGUGAUAAUUCUGGAAGGACCAUAUUGACAUAAUCUGUAAGGAGGCAACUCUUGUUCAGAAGUGAUAGUCAAAAUGGAAUCUGGAAAUGUUUCAAAGUUAGAAUUUUCAAUCUGUGUAAGAUUAAGGAAACUUAAUGCAAGAAGGAUAUUUCCAAGGAGUUGAUCUCCUUUGGAAUACUCUGUAAUGAUUGUUGCCAAGUCUUUGUGACUUUGUGCAUAAUCAUUACAAGAGGAUCAAUGCAUAUAAGUUUAGAAUCUAACAGAUUUCAGUAAAUGGCAUGAAUUUGGAAUUCUUGCAUUUGCAGUAAGGAUUUGGGAGUGUGAAAAGAGAAUCAUUGAAGUUAUGUUCAAUUGAUCUAGUUCACAAAGUAAAGAUCAUAGACAAACAUAGUAUGCAUACUUGGUGUGUGGCAUGACUAGUGUUUAAGAAAACAUAGUGUACAUGCUUGGAGCAUGGGACAACUAUUGUUUUAAAUUCAAGAAUAAAGUUGAUAGCUGAAACAGUAUACAAUGAAUAAUGUGUAAUCAUAUGGUGAUAAAUAAAAGGUGUUUUAUUUAUGUUCAAAGGGUUGAUACCAUAUUGGAUUCAAUUAUUAUUGUGUUUCAUUUUGCAUGUUUUGACUUCCCGAAUAAACUGGGUUAUUCUUCCGGAAUGACUAAGUUAUUCAAACCAUCCACAGUCGGUCAUAUGUUGGAAGUAGAUAUGAAUUAAGACUGUCAUGGGUUGGCUUGUAGAGGUCUAAGGUGUUGGACAAAGGGCUACAACACUCAUGAGUGCUCAUAAGUUCUGAGUAUUGGAUUCAACCCGCGCUCAUUGGAAUCACUUCAUGGAUUUUAUCACGAGUGAUCAUGAGACGAUAAUAUCUUAUAUUCUUCAAACCUAGAGAUAUGAGUUGUUACUAUGAGUUGAUAGUACAUUGAUUGCACGAAAACGCAUUUGGUAACUCGGUGCUAUAAAACGUGCCUUUGUGUAUGAUUCAACAAGUAGUAGAACAAGCCAUAUGAGUCGAAGUUUAUCCAUUCCUUUUACCUUCGGGAUAAAAGCGAUAUCUGUGGGCCCCUCGAUGAUUUGAUGAUGACAAAUGGAAGUGCUCGGCCGGGCCAGGACUGAUUUGAUUUGUUCAAUUAGUCAGUCGUCAUAAAUCGGAAAUCGGGAAACAACAAAUGGACAGAGAGAAUGAUUAUAAUCCAUGUCUCAGUCCAUAUGAUAUCUAGAAUGGAGGAAUAUAUGAUCCCUUAUCUAAUGGACAAGUCAUUGACAAAGGUCAGAGUUCAUCUACAAGGUCAGAGUUCGACAGAAGCUUUUGAGAGCUACGAUUGCCAGUUGGUUCCUGAAGUCAUACGCAAUAAUAGUUUUAGACUUAUCCAAGUGGGAGACUGUUGGAUUAAUGUCUAAGUCCAUAACUAUAAUUGGUAAGACUUGACCCGACCCGGCAUGGUCCAUUUGGGUUGCAUACCAUCAUGCACUUGGAUAGACUAUAAUGAGAGAAAUAAGACACUUAUGGUUAUUAAUAUAUUAUAAGUUCUAGUAUAUUAAUAAUAAGAAUAAUAAGAUUAUUUAAUUAGUAUUGAUCAAGAAUUAAUCUAGGAUUAAUUAAGUGAUCAAAAGAAGACUAAUUAAAUAUAUGGGUUGAUUGUGUAAAUCAUCCAUACUUGUAUAGUGGGCUAAUGCUCCAUGGAUAAUCAAGUUGGGCUAAAACCCAUAGGAUGGUCCAUGGAUGCUCCAUGGUGUAUUUGUACCCAUGGAUCCAAGGAAAUGGAAAGCCAUGACAAUUAAGAGUUUACCCUAAUUGUAACACUAUAUAAAGAUAUUAUUCUUGGCAAAAUCGGCCACUAGUAUUAUUCCAGAGAGGGCUAGCCGAUUUCAUGAAGUGUAGAAUUCUCUCAAUCUAUUCUAAGUGUUUUGAUGAUUGUGAUUCCAUUUGAGGUGUCACACUUGGGGCACUAGGCACUCAAGCUUCAUGAAGACUUUCUACAUCAAAGAGGUAUGUAUUCUAUCUUGUUACAGUCAUUGUUUUGUAUGCUAGAUUAGGAUAAUACCUUGGAAGUUCUUAUUUGCAUGUAUAAUAGAGAAAACAUAGAUCCAAGGUAUUUAGGGUUGCAUGUACACUUAGGAGUGUUAGA